rnacentral:rRNA from 1 species
AGAGUUUGAUCCUGGCUCAGGGCUAACGCUGGUGGUAUGCAUAAGGCAUGCAAGUCGAGCGAGAAAGUUUCCUUCGGGGGGCGAGUAAAGCGGCGAACGGGUGAGUAACACGUGGGUAACCUACCCUGAAAUUGGGGAUAACAUGCCUAACGGCAUGCUAAUACCCGGUAAUGUACCGGCAAGUAAUUGUCGUUACGAAAGGUGGCCUCUACUUGUAAGCUAUCGUUUCAGGAGGGGCCCGCGUCCUAUUAGCUUGUUGGUGGGGUAACGGCCUACCAAGGCGACGAUGGGUAGCCGGCCAGAGAGGGUGAUCGGCCACACUGGGAUUGAGAUACGGCCCAGACUCCUACGGGAGGCAGCAGCUAGGAAUCUUGGGCAAUAUCCGAAAGGAUGGCCCAGCAAUACCACGUGAGCGACGAAGUUUUUUGGAAUGUAAAGCUCUGUCAGGGGACAAGAAAAUGGAUUAGGCAAACAGUCUGAUCUUUUGACUAUCCCCAAAGGAAGCACCGGCAAACUCCGUGCCAGCAGCCGCGGUAAUACGGGGGGUGCGAGCGUUGCCCGGAUUUACUGAGCGUAAAGGGUGUGUAGGCGGAUGUGUAAGUCAAGUGUGAAAACUUACGGCUCAACCGUAAGCCUGCACUUGAUACUGCAUUUCUUGAGUACGAAAGAGGAGAGUGGAAUUUCAGGUGUAGCGGUGAAAUGCGUAGAUAUCUGAAAGAACACCGGUUGCGAAGGCUGCUCUCUAUUCUGAUACUGACGCUGAAACACGAAAGCUAGGGGAGCGAACAGGAUUAGAUACCCUGGUAGUCCUAGCCGUAAACGAUGGAUACUAGGCGUUGGGGGCAUCAACUCCCUCAGUGCCGAAGCUAACGCAUUAAGUAUCCCGCCUGGGGAGUACGAUCGCAAGAUUGAAACUCAAAGGAAUUGACGGGGACCUGCACAAGCGGUGGAACAUGUGGUUUAAUUCGAUUCAACGCGAAAAACCUUACCGGGGCUUGACAUGGGAGCCCCCUUCGGGGGGUUAAUCCGGUGAAAGUCGGGUGUAUCCGCACAGGUGCUGCAUGGCUGUCGUCAGUUCGUGUCGUGAGAUGUUGGGUUAAGUCCCGCAACGAGCCCAACCCUCGCCCUUAGUUGCCAGCAGGUUAAGCUGGGCACUCUAAGGGGACUGCCGGUGAUAAAUCGGAGGAAGGUGGGGAUGACGUCAAGUCCUCAUGGCCCUUACGUCCCGGGCUACACACGUGUUACAAUGGUUCGUACAAUAGGAGGCAAUACCGCGAGGUGGAGCAAAUCCUUAAAACGGGCCUCAGUUCGGAUUGGAGUCUGCGACUCGACUCCAUGAAGUUGGAAUCGCUAGUAAUCGCGGAUCAGCACGCCUCGGUGAAUGUGUUCCCAGGUCUUGUACACACCGUCCGUCAAGUCAACCGAAUUGAAUGCACCCGAAGUCCCAUUUAAUAUGGGCCGAAGGUGUGUUUAGUAAGAGGGACUAAGUCGAACAAGGUAGCCGUACCGGAAGGUGUG